GCUUGAACAGGUGCUGCAUGGCUGUCGUCAGCUCGUGUCGUGAGAUGUUCGGUUAAGUCCGCUAACGAGCGCAACCCUCGCUGUGUGUUACAAGUGUCACACGGAACUGCCGGUCAUAAACCGGAGGAAGGUGGGGAUGACGUCAAGUCAGCAUGGCCUUUAUAUCCUGGGCUACACACACGCUACAAUGGGAAGGGACAAUAGGUUGCGAAACCGCGAGGUGGAGCCAAUCCAAGCAAAACUUCCCUCAGUUCAGAUUGCAGGCUGCAACUCGCCUGCAUGAAGUUGGAGUUGCUAGUAAACGCAGGUCAGCCAUACUGCGUUGAAUACGUUCCCGGGGCUU
rnacentral:rRNA from 1 species